rnacentral:rRNA from 1 species
CAGUAGCCACGGUAAUACAGAGGGUGCGAGCGUUAAUCGGAUUUACUGGGCGUAAAGCGUGCGUAGGCGGCUUCUUAAGUCGGAUGUGAAAUCCCUGAGCUUAACUUAGGAAUUGCAUUCGAUACUGGGAAGCUAGAGUAUGGGAGAGGAUGGUAGAAUUCCAGGUGUAGCGGUGAAAUGCGUAGAGAUCUGGAGGAAUACCGAUUGCGAAGGCAGCCAUCUGGCCUAAUACUGACGCUGAGGUACGAAAGCAUGGGGAGCAAACAGGAUUAGAUAUCCCCGUAGUCCCUGUCUCUUAUAC